AAAUGUAUGAUGAUGAUGAUGAUGAUGAUGCAGCUGCUGCUGCUGCUAACGUCAUUUUAUUAUUAUCAUCAUCAUCAUCAUCCACG
rnacentral:miRNA from 1 species